rnacentral:lncRNA from 1 species
UUGCCUCCGAAGGCGGUAGCCCCCUGAUCUCCACUCUAUUUUUUUUGUCUCCUUUCUUAAAUCUGCGGCACUGCUGACCUUGAGACCUGAGUUGACAAGCAGGUCUCAUCAAGUGGCGCUGAACAGGGACCUGAAGCAGUUCACAGUCUACAAGACUAAUGGACAGGUGCUGACAGACGCGGGGAAUUCUGGCUGAAAAAGCGACAGACUGGAAAGUAACAAGAGAUGAAGAAACCAAAAGAAUAAUCAGGAAAUUGAAUGUAGAACAAUUAAUGCUCAACGAAAAGUGGCUUUUUGUAGUUGUUACUAUCAAAGGGUUCCCUUCAAGAUUACCUCACAGAUUUUCCAGGAGGUGAAGAUGAAGACAAGGAGACUGAACAAUGGAUGUGUGUGUGUAACUGUCCCCUGACUCACAAAAGUGCAAUGGAAAGCAAACAAGUGAAGUGAAAGAAUGCAAAGAGGGAGAUGGAACAAAAGCUUGCAGAGAAGUGCCAGUUAACAACUGACUAUAAGAGAAGAAUAAUCUUCUGAGUAAAUACAGAGAAAGAGAGAAAGAGAAGGGGCAGGGAUUUGUAUUGAAGAAGCUUGCUCUGUACUUUGAAACAAACUGAAAGAGAAAAAAUAGUAUUAUUU